CUAUAGCUCUAGAGUUUUUGUAGAUUUUCAAAUAAAACUCAGAGAUUCCUUGUAUGACUCUCUUAGAUCUCUCUUUUGUGGUAUUUUUGGAUCCUUACCAAGGCAGUGAUGGUAUAUGCCUUCUCUCAAAGUAUGUAGUAUUUGUGGUAUAAGGCAUAGUGACAUUGCCUUCUCUCUCAUCCUACUCUAAUAAGGUUUUUGAUAUCUGGAGCUCAUAGGUGGGAGAUAUAGUAUACAUACUUACAAGACAUUUAUUGCAUAGUCAAACCAUGGAUCCAAAGAAACAAGUCAAUAAGUCAAAUCAAGAUGUGCAUGUGUGGCGAAUGAAUGGUGUAUGAUGAUGAUGGUGAUAACAAUGGUGAAAGUCUAAUUCUACUGGUGCUCUUUUGAGGGGAUACAUACCUUUCUUGCUCUUUUAAAAUUUUUGCGGAGUAUGAGAUGCUCUAUAUUUUAUUUUUCUUUCCUCUCAAGUGGGUAUCUUGUACCCCUAAUUCUACUGUCGGACACUUGUCCAUUUUUAUCUCUCGUCUCACUUUUUUUUUUCUUUCAAGGUUCCAGGCACUUGCCCCUUUUUAUUUCCUCGUAUUCUCUUUUUUUAGAGCACUCAUCUCCUGAAAUAAUAUAGCAAGUGGAAGUAACCAAGAUAACUCGACCAUUUAUUUCACAGGGAAAAAUAGAAAUAGAAGAAUGUUUUUGGCUAUUCUCUCCCGGAUUAGGAGUAGAAUACUUUUGGGUGGUUCUAGAGAUGGAAAUGAGUGGAUAUAUGUGGAUGCGUACUUCCGGAGUAGAAGCAGCAUGUGUGAGUGAACGUGCAAGUGAAUCUUAAUUUAACCACAUAAUUAGCUCCUAAGGGUCUACACAGCUUGACCACACUCAAUGCUCAUAAGCAGUAAAAAGUAAAUGCGUGACUCAAAGUCUAGAAAGCAUGUAUAUAUGGCUGUGGUAGGAAUUUAAACUCUCAUCAUACAGGAACUCAUCAUGUGAUAUUUUAAAAGAUUUUCAAAGACAAAAUUCUCCAGAAUUCUAGCAUCUCUAGGAACAGAUAAACAGCAGCUCAACCUUCUCAUAUCAUACCCGUUAACAACUUAGACUUCAGAUCAAAUUCUCUUCCCACAAGUUCAGGUUUAGAGCAAGUUUUAAAUUAUAACAGUUAUGUCUAAACUUGAAAGAGAACUCAAAUUUGAAAAUUAGGCAGAGCAACUAUUCAUCAUAUCCAUGCUAGAGUUUUAUUAUUAAGAUUCAGU
rnacentral:lncRNA from 1 species